rnacentral:rRNA from 1 species
GAUGAACGCUGGCGGCGUGCCUAAUACAUGCAAGUCGAGCGAACAGACGAGGAGCUUGCUCCUCUGACGUUAGCGGCGGACGGGUGAGUAACACGUGGAUAACCUACCUAUAAGACUGGGAUAACUUCGGGAAACCGGAGCUAAUACCGGAUAAUAUAUUGAACCGCAUGGUUCAAUAGUGGAAGACGGUUUUGCUGUCACUUAUAGAUGGAUCCGCGCCGCAUUAGCUAGUUGGUAAGGUAACGGCUUACCAAGGCAACGAUGCGUAGCCGACCUGAGAGGGUGAUCGGCCACACUGGAACUGAGACACGGUCCAGACUCCUACGGGAGGCAGCAGUAGGGAAUCUUCCGCAAUGGGCGAAAGCCUGACGGAGCAACGCCGCGUGAAUGAUGAAGGUCUUCGGAUCGUAAAACUCUGUUAUUAGGGAAGAACAAAUGUGUAAGUAACUAUGCACGUCUUGACGGUACCUAAUCAGAAAGCCACGGCUAACUACGUG